GGUUAAGCUACAAAGAGCGUAGGGUGAAUAGCUAGGCACCAAGAGCCGAAGAAGGACGUGAUAAGCUGCGAAAAGCUUUGGGUAGGAGCAAAUAUCCAUCGAUCCAGAGAUAUCCGAAUGAGGGAACUCACUUAGGCAAAAAACUAAGUAUCCAUAUAUGAGUAAAGUAGUAUAUGAGAAGGGAACGUGGGGAACUGAAACAUCUUAUGUACCUGCAGGAAGAGAAAGAGAAAUCGAUUCCUAGAGUAGUGGCGAGCGAAAUAGGAAGAGCCUAAACCAUGAGUAGUAAUACACAUGGGGUUCGGACCACGAUAUAUUAUCAAUAAUUCUAAUAGAAAUGUUUUGGAAAAGCAUACCAUAGACGGUGAAAGUCCAGUAUAUGAAAGAAAAGUUGAGAUUAGUGGUAUCCAGAGUAGUACGAGACACGAGAAAUCUCGUAUGAAUAAGCGGGGACCAUCCCGUAAGGCUAAAUACUACUUGGUGACCGAUAGUGAACUAGUACCGUGAGGGAAAGGUGAAAAGAACCCCGGGAGGGGAGUGAAAUAGAACAUGAAACCCUAUGUUUACAAGCAGACAAAGCACUUUAUAUGUGCGAUGUCGUACUUUUUGUAGAACGGUCCAGCGAGUUAUUGUGUAUGGCGAGGUUAAGUAUUACGUAAGGUACGGAGCCGAAGCGAAAGCGAGUCUGAAAAGGGCGAUAUAAGUCAUGCAUAAUAGACCCGAAACUGAGUGACCUAUCCAUGAGCAGGAUGAAGCUAGAGUAAAAUCUAGUGGAGGUCCGAACUGAUUGUCGUUAAAAAGGCACCGGAUGACUU
rnacentral:rRNA from 1 species